rnacentral:tRNA from 1 species
GGGCGAUUAGCUCAGAUGGGAGAGCGCUUCCUUCACACGGAAGAGGUCGGCGGUUCGAUCCCGUCAUCGCCCACCA